rnacentral:rRNA from 1 species
CUAGCGGCAGGCCUAACACAUGCAAGUCGAGGGGUAGGGUGCUUCGGCACUUGAGACCGGCGCACGGGUGCGUAACACGUGGUGUAUACCAUCUACCUUUUGCUAAGGGAUAGCCCGAAGAAAUUUGGAUUAAACCUUAUAGUAUUGUUUGGUGGCACACUGAAUAAUUAAAGCUCUGGUGCAAAAGAUGAGUACGCGUCCCAUUAGCUAGUUGGUGUGGUAACGGCAUACCAAGGCUACGAUGGGUAGGGGUCCUGAGAGGGAGGUCCCCCACACUGGUACUGAGACACGGACCAGACUCCUACGGGAGGCAGCAGUGAGGAAUAUUGGACAAUGGUCGGAAGACUGAUCCAGCCAUGCCGCGUGCAGGAUGACGGCCUUAUGGGUUGUAAACUGCUUUUAUACAGGAAGAAUAAGGUCUACGCGUAGAUUGAUGACGGUACUGUAUGAAUAAGCAUCGGCUAACUCCGUGCCAGCAGCCGCGGUAAUACGGAGGAUGCGAGCGUUAUCCGGAAUCAUUGGGUUUAAAGGGUCCGUAGGCGGGCUUAUAAGUCAGAGGUGAAAGCACUGAGCUCAACUGAGUAACUGCCUUUGAAACUGUAGGUCUUGAAUAUUUGUGAAGUAGGCUGGCAAUUAGUGUAGCGGUGAAAUGCAUAGAUAUUACACAGAACACCGAUUGCGAAGGCAUGUUACUAACAAAUUAUUGACGCUGAUGGACGAAAGCGUGGGGAGCGAACAGGAUUAGAUACCCUGGUAGUCCACGCUGUAAACGAUGGAUACUAGCUGUUUGGGAGUAUUUUGAGUGGCUAACGAAAGUGAUAAGUAUCCCACCUGGGGAGUACCACGCAAGUGUGAAACUCAAAGGAAUUGACGGGGCCCCACAAGCGGUGGAGCAUGUGGUUUAAUUCGAUGAUCGCGAGGAACCUUACCAAGGUUUAAAUGGGAACACGUAUUCUAGAGAUAGAUAUUUCUUCGGACGUUUUUCAAGGUGCUGCAUGGUUGUCGUCAGC